rnacentral:rRNA from 1 species
CACGUAGGAGGCAAACGUUAUCCGGAUUUACUGGGCGUAAAGCGCGUGUAGGUGGUUCUGUAAGUAGGGCGUGAAAGCUCCCGGCUCAACUGGGAGAGGCCGUUCUAAACUGCAGAGCUAGAGGAUGGUAGAGGGAGGUGGAAUUCCAGGUGUAGCGGUGGAAUGCGCAGAUAUCUGGAGGAACACCAGUGGCGAAGGCGGCCUCCUGGACCAUUCCUGACACUCAGACGCGAAAGCUAGGGUAGCAAACGGGAUUAGAUACCCCUGUAGU